GAUCCUAGCUUAGGAUGAACGCUAGCUACAGGCUUAACACAUGCAAGUCGAGGGGCAGCGAGAGGAAAGCUUGCUUCCUUGUCGGCGACCGGCGCACGGGUGAGUAACGCGUAUCCAACCUUCCCCUUAGUAGGGCAUAGCCCGGUGAAAAUCGGAUUAAUACCCUAUGUUAUUCGUCGAGGACAUCUGAAGUGAAUCAAAGAUUUAUCGCUAAGGGAUGGGGAUGCGUCUGAUUAGGUAGUCGGCGGGGUAACGGCCCACCGAGCCAUCGAUCAGUAGGGGUUCUGAGAGGAAGGUCCCCCACACUGGUACUGAGACACGGACCAGACUCCUACGGGAGGCAGCAGUGAGGAAUAUUGGUCAAUGGGCGCGAGCCUGAACCAGCCAAAAGUAGCGUGCAGGAUGACGGCCCUAUGGGUUGUAAACUGCUUUUAUACGGGGAUAAAGUGAGGGACGUGUCCCUUUUUGUAGGUACCGUAUGAAUAAGGACCGGCUAAUUCCGUGCCAGCAGCCGC
rnacentral:rRNA from 1 species